rnacentral:rRNA from 1 species
AGAGUUUGAUCCUGGCUCAGAACGAACGCUGGCGGCGCGUCUUAAGCAUGCAAGUCGAACGGCAAGAGAGGAGCUUGCUUCUCUCCUAGAGUGGCGGACUGGUGAGGAACACGUGGGUAAUCUACCCUUAAGAUGGGGAUAGCUGCUAGAAAUAGCAGGUAAUACCGAAUACACUCGGCAUAUCACAAGAGAUGUUGAGGAAAGGAAGCUACGGCUUCGCUUGAGGAUGAGCUUGCGUCCCAUUAGCUAGUUGGUGAGGUAAAGGCCCACCAAGGCGACGAUGGGUAUCCGGCCUGAGAGGGUGAACGGACACAUUGGGACUGAGAUACGGCCCAAACUCCUACGGGAGGCAGCAGCUAAGAAUAUUCCGCAAUGGACGGAAGUCUGACGGAGCGACGCCGCGUGGAUGAAGAAGGCUGAAAAGUUGUAAAAUCCUUUUGUUGAUGAAGAAUAAGGGUGAGAGGGAAUGCUCAUCUGAUGACGGUAAUCGACGAAUAAGCCCCGGCUAAUUACGUGCCAGCAGCCGCGGUAACACGUAAGGGGCGAGCGUUGUUCGGAAUUAUUGGGCGUAAAGGGCAUGUAGGCGGCUAUGUAAGCCUGAUGUGAAAUCCUGGGGCUUAACCCUAGAAUAGCAUUGGGUACUGUAUAACUUGAAUUACGGAAGGGAAACUGGAAUUCCAAGUGUAGGGGUGGAAUCUGUAGAUAUUUGGAAGAACACCGGUGGCGAAGGCGGGUUUCUGGCCGAUAAUUGACGCUGAGAUGCGAAAGUGUGGGGAUCGAACAGGAUUAGAUACCCUGGUAGUCCACACUGUAAACGAUGUACACUAGGUGUUGGGGCAAGAGCUUCAGUGCCAAAGCAAACGCGAUAAGUGUACCGCCUGGGGAGUAUGCCCGCAAGGGUGAAACUCA